AGAGUUUGAUCCUGGCUCAGGAUGAACGCUAGCGGCAGGCCUAAUACAUGCAAGUUGAACGGUAGAUAAUCUUUCGGGAUUGUUGAGAGUAGCGCACGGGUGCGUAACGCGUAUGAAACCUACCCUAUACAGGGGGAUAGCCCGGAGAAAUCUGGAUUAAUACCCCAUAGUAUUGUUUGACCGCAUGGUUGAAUGAUUAAAGAUUCAUCGGUAUAGGAUGGUCAUGCGUCUGAUUAGCUAGUUGGGGAGGUAACGGCUCACCAAGGCGACGAUACAUAGCCGACC
rnacentral:rRNA from 1 species